UCAGGAAUAUGUAACCCAUAUCAACUACUCCCUGUCACAUGACCCACGUCAGCUGAUUUGAGGUCCCUCUUCUGAUUGGCUCCUUUCACGUCGCGGCAACUCUGAAAACCGGCUGUGGAGGGAUACUUCCGGGUUCGACUCCUGCUGUGGCUGUGAGCUUAUGGCAUUUAGAGCGGUAUUGGAAAACAAAGCGUUUUCUCUCCUCAAUUCAUCUUUAAACUUUAAACUCAGCGGUCAGGUUUUUUUUUCCCCUUUGAAUUGAUCUUCUUCAUAUUGAAGUGGCGAGCCGGUAGGACCAUUCUUUGUUUUCCCCUCUUUUCCCCCACUUAGCCGUCUUUGGAUUACGGACAUAUUUCCCCCUUGUAUGAAGCUGGACCCUAAGGAGGAAUACCUUAAAAGUGAACUUUAAAAA